UCUAGUGAGGUGGAUGAACCUAGAACCCUACAGUCUUUUAAAGAGAAAUGGAGCCUGCUGCAUAAAGCUGCCCCCUGUGUGGGAAGGAGGGUCAUAACAAGGCCUAUCUACAUAGUUUUUGUGAAGGCCACCAACCUUAUGGAGAAACUGAGGCUCUGAGACUUGGCCUGCCCUAGACUCUAGAACUAGUCCUGGCAGAGCCAGGAAAGGAAGCCAGGACUGUGUGAUGACAGAGCUCUCAAAGAUGAGAGAGCCGCAGACGCUCAGGAACAGGGGCACCCACCCCCACACGCUCAGGGAGGAGCCCGACCUUGAGGUCCAAGUGCAGGACGUAAUGCUGAUGGAGAGAAAUGACAUGACAAAUGUUUCACUCGCCUCACUUGCACCAGAAGGAAAGCAGCAACACCAACACACUAAUAAAUGUCCCCUGAGCCCUUGGCCUCAGCACUAGGGGUAGUUGAAAGUGGUGGGGACUGUAGCCAAUGGGAAAUUGGUUGCCCUGUCUACAAAGGUCAGUUACUACAAGCUCCAUCAUACCAUUUCCAACUGAGAAUGCAGACCCAGUAUUACUAGAUCUUUUACAUUUGCAACAAAAAUCGGGCAUCUAGGUUUUAAUGUGAAAUUUCCCAAUUUCCAACUGUUAAUACUAAAUCAAAAUUAUUAAAAAUGUGUAGGCCAAAACAAUAUCUGCAGGUUGAACCAGGCUCACUGGUUUCUGACAAAUGGCCUUGUCCUCUGUGUUUUAUGUUGGAGGUCAGGUAGAG